AUACCAGCUGGCUGCAACUGUUUAUUAAAAACACAGCACUGUGCAAACACGAAAGUGGACGUAUACGGUGUGACGCCUGCCCGGUGCCGGAAGGUUAAUUGAUGGGGUUAUCCGUAAGGAGAAGCUCUUGAUCGAAGCCCCGGUAAACGGCGGCCGUAACUAUAACGGUCCUAAGGUAGCGAAAUUCCUUGUCGGGUAAGUUCCGACCUGCACGAAUGGCGUAAUGAUGGCCAGGCUGUCUCCACCCGAGACUCAGUGAAAUUGAACUCGCUGUGAAGAUGCAGUGUACCCGCGGCAAGACGGAAAGACCCCGUGAACCUUUACUAUAGCUUGACACUGAACACUGGUCCUUGAUGUGUAGGAUAGGUGGGAGGCUUUGAAGUGUGGACGCCAGUCUGCAUGGAGCCAUCCUUGAAAUACCACCCUUUAAUGGCUGGUGUUCUAACGUGGACCCGUAAUCCGGGUUGCGGACAGUGUCUGGUGGGUAGUUUGACUGGGGCGGUCUCCUCCUAAAGAGUAACGGAGGAGCACGAAGGUUAGCUAAUCCUGGUCGGACAUCAGGAGGUUAGUGCAAAGGCAUAAGCUAGCUUGACUGCGAGAGUGACGGCUCGAGCAGGUGCGAAAGCAGGUCUUAGUGAUCCGGUGGUUCUGAAUGGAAGGGCCAUCGCUCAACGGAUAAAAGGUACUCCGGGGAUAACAGGCUGAUACCGCCCAAGAGUUCAUAUCGACGGCGGUGUUUGGCACCUCGAUGUCGGCUCAUCACAUCCUGGGGCUGAAGUAGGUCCCAAGGGUAUGGCUGUUCGCCAUUUAAAGUGGUACGCGAGCUGGGUUUAGAACGUCGUGAGACAGUUCGGUCCCUAUCUGCCGUGGGCGCUGGAGAAUUGAGGGGGGCUGCUCCUAGUACGAGAGGACCGGAGUGGACGCAUCACUGGUGUUCGGGUUGUCAUGCCAAUGGCAUUGCCCGGUAGCUAAAUGCGGAAGAGAUAAGUGCUGAAAGCAUCUAAGCACGAAACUUGCCCCGAGAUGAGUUCUCCCUGAGACUAUAAGUCUCCUGAAGGAACGUUGAAGACGACGACGUUGAUAGGUCGGGUGUGUAAGUGUAGCGAUACAUUGAGCUAACCGAUACUAAUGAACCGUGAGGCUUAACCUUACAACGCCGAAG
rnacentral:rRNA from 1 species